rnacentral:tRNA from 1 species
GCGCGAGUGGCGAAAUGGCAGACGCGCCAGCCUUAGGAGCUGGUGCCCGUAAGGGUGUAAGGGUUCGAAUCCCUUCUCGCGCA